AUGGCAAGAAGGAAAAGACUACAGAAACAGAUUCCUCUUGAUGGGCCUAACGUUUCUACACUCACUGGAGAUGUGGACGAUUAUGUUGAUAGUCGGCUAAUUGAUAUAAUUAGUUCCGAAUUAAGAGACAAAGUACAUGAAAAGAAGGAUCCAUGUAAGGCCAAAUGUAAGAGCAAGGACAUUGACUCAGUGCGGUGGAGAAAGAGGGACCAGUUGGGACGAUUGACUAUUGAGAAUCGAACUCCCUCAAUAGAUAUCACAUCUGAAUGUCGAAUGAGGUCGACACGACCUCAAUAUGAAGAUUCAUCAGAAGACAUUGCUGAUACAACAGAUGGCACUUCACCUCGACGGUUUGAGGAGACACUUCAAUUGAUUGACAAAAAUAUUCAAGAACUCAAGGAGAGCUUAGACAGCCCAGAUAUUUAUCCAUCAGAAACUUGCAACAUACGGACCUGGGGUUUGCGGCAUGAACUAUGUGACGAAAAGUGGCAAAAAUCAAGACCACAUCUUUUACAAGCCAUGUUAACAAGCGGAAGGACACCUCAACAAGCUUGCCAACAGUGUCAACGCUGUUAUUCGAUGCAGAGACUGCCUCCCCAAAGAACUGUAUUGCAGUAA
ensembl:lncRNA